UACGUAGGGUGCGAGCGUUAAUCGGAAUUACUGGGCGUAAAGCGUGCGCAGGCGGUAAGUUAAGUCUGAUGUGAAAGCCCCGGGCUCAACCUGGGAACGGCAUUGGAAACUGGCUUGCUAGAGUGUGGCAGAGGGGGGUGGAAUUCCGCGUGUAGCAGUGAAAUGCGUAGAGAUGCGGAGGAACACCGAUGGCGAAGGCAGCCCCCUGGGCCAACACUGACGCUCAGGCACGAAAGCGUGGGGAGCGAACAGG
rnacentral:rRNA from 1 species